AAUAUAUUACUAGCUGGUAAUAAGUGAGUAAAACUCCAUGUGUGAGUGCGUAGAAAUACAAAUUCUUGAUUUUGCAACAAAAUUAUAAACAAUUUUUGCACCUUUGAAAUAUUAUGUGGAAAAAACAAGCAUUUUUCUAGUUUCAUGACAAUAACUUGUGUGUAAGUGUAUGGAUCUUUAUGAAAUUGUACUACAAGGUUCUAUAUCACAAAGGGAAAGCUGGGUUUGAGUUUGGGGGUAAUUGCCCUAAACGUUUAGGAAUUUGAGGCCAAAAAGGG